AAGUCCCGCAACGAGCGCAACCCUUAAGCUUAGUUGCCAUCAUUAAGUUGGGCACUCUAAGUUGACUGCCGGUGACAAACCGGAGGAAGGUGGGGAUGACGUCAAAUCAUCAUGCCCCUUAUGAUUUGGGCUACACACGUGCUACAAUGGACAAUACAAAGGGCAGCGAAACCGCGAGGUCAAGCAAAUCCCAUAAAGUUGUUCUCAGUUCGGAUUGUAGUCUGCAACUCGACUACAUGAAGCUGGAAUCGCUAGUAAUCGUAGAUCAGCAUGCUACGGUGAAUACGUUCCCGGGUCUUGUACACACCGCCCGUCACACCACGAGAGUUUGUAACACCCGAAGCCGGUGGAGUAACCUUUUAGGAGCUAGCCGUCGAAGGUGGGACAAAUGAUUGGGGUGAAGUCGUAACAAGGUAGCCGUAUCGGAA
rnacentral:rRNA from 1 species